CAAGCAGACCCUUUAGAUAUUUUUCUACAGUUCUAUAAACAUGGCUACCACAACCAAGGGUAUCACUCUGAGGCCUGGGCCUGAGUCUCUACGUUACCCACUACCCACUGCAAACAGAAGAUUUUCAUCUAUCUCCUGUCUUAGCAGAGACACUGUCACAGGUAAACUGAAGUGAAUGUGCCUUACCUCAUCACCAAGAAGGACCAGGUGUGUGGAUUCCAGGGUGUGCUCUCACUCUCAAAGGGAUCACCAAUUUGGGGUAAGACAAAUUGUGCCAUUUACUCAGGACCAAUAUAUGCAGAGCACUGAGCUGCUAUUGGAGCCAUAGGCAGCUCUACAGGUGCAGUUUUAGGACUUCAGAAAAUCAGGAAAAGAGCUGAAUCUCUGAAUGUCACACACUUGGCAGUUGAAGAGUUUUCUGCUGCCUUCUCUAAAGGAAUGUACUUGGACAAUCAUCCAGCUUCCAUUGAAAAAACCUCAAGAAUUGUUAAGGUCUACAAGUAAAGUGGCUCGAAUUGGUCAAAGUGGCCAUCAGCUAAUAGAGAUCUAUCAGAUACACAUCAACAUUGUGGCUGGCAUAAUACUCUUUUCACUGUGGCUGCUGAAUGACUAACUUAGAUGGUGCUGGCAUACAAAAAAUCAAGACUCCCAUGUUUCAUCUGUCUAAAGUCCAGAAAUGGAAGCAAAAACAUCAUGAUGACUGGAAAGUCCACUUUAGUGAGAUCUCCUGGCAAGGGCAGUGCAUCACUUACAGAUUGUGCAGCUGUACCCCUGGGCCCCUUUUGUAAGAUAUUUUAUUACACUGUGUAAAGAUAUAUCACUGUGAUUGAUUUAAUAAAAAGCUAAAUGACCAAUAA